rnacentral:tRNA from 1 species
AGGACUAAAGCUCAAUGGCACAGUGCCUGCCUACCAAGCAUGGGGUCCUGAGUUCGAUUCCCAGUACCUG